rnacentral:misc_RNA from 1 species
AAACAUGUUAACAAUAAAAACCAUUCCAUAGGAUUUGAUUCGAUACAUUAAAAAAACAUACUGCACUCAAUAAUCCAAAGAGGAGGUUAAUUAACAGUCUGUUAGUCCUUACACAAGUACCAAGAGAGAUUUACAGAUAUACAAAAUACCAAAGUUUACCUAAAAUCCCCAAAAAACCAAUUCAAACAUUCAGAACCCCAAAUUACAAGAAUAUUAAAAAAAUAAAUAAAUAA